GACGAACGCUGGCGGCGUGCUUAACACAUGCAAGUCGAACGAUGAACCCGGAGCUUGCUCCGGCGGAUUAGUGGCGAACGGGUGAGUAACACGUGACUAACCUGCCCCUUUCUCUGGGAUAACGCUCCGAAAGGAGUGCUAAGACCGGAUACGCACACCGAGGCACAUGCCGUGGUGUGGAAAGUUUUUCGGAAAGGGCUGGAGUCGCGGCCUAUCAGCUUGUUGGUGAGGGAACGGCUCACCAAGGCGACGACAGGUAGCCGGCCUGAGAGGGCGACCGGCCACACUGGGACUGAGACACGGCCCAGACUCCUACGGGAGGCAGCAGUGGGGAAUAUUGCACAAUGGGCGCAAGCCUGAUGCAGCGACGCCGCGUGAGGGAUGAAGGUCUUCGGAUUGUAAACCUCUUUCAGUAGGGACGAAGCGAAAGUGACGGUACCUAAAGAAGAAGCACCGGCUAACUACGUGCCAGCCGCCGCAGUAA
rnacentral:rRNA from 1 species